rnacentral:rRNA from 1 species
GACGAACGCUGGCGGCGUGCCUAAUACAUGCAAGUCGAGCGCAGGAAAUCGACGGAACCCUUCGGGGGGAAGUCGACGGAAUGAGCGGCGGACGGGUGAGUAACACGUAAAGAACCUGCCCUCAGGUCUGGGAUAACCACGAGAAAUCGGGGCUAAUACCGGAUGGGUCAUCGGACCGCAUGGUCCGAGGAUGAAAGGCGCUUCGGCGUCGCCUGGGGAUGGCUUUGCGGUGCAUUAGCUAGUUGGUGGGGGAAUGGCCCACCAAGGAGACGAGGCAUAGCCGACCUGAGAGGGUGAUCGGCCACACUGGGACUGAGACACGGCCCAGACUCCUACGGGAGGCAGCAGUAGGGAAUCUUCCACAAUGGACGAAAGUCUGAUGGAGCAACGCCGCGUGAACGAUGAAGGCCUUCGGGUCGUAAAGUUCUGUUGUAAGGGAAGAACAAGUGCCGCAGGCAAUGGCGGCACCUUGACGGUACCUUGCGAGAAAGCCACGGCUAACUACGUACCAGCAGCCGCGGUAA